rnacentral:lncRNA from 1 species
GGAGGACGGGGAGGAGGAGGAGGAGGAGGAAUCCCCUCUGGGGUGUCCCAGGGAAGGGACAGCCCCUCCCUCGUCUGCGCUGCUCAUCCGCCGCCACCACCGGACUGACCACGCUUCCAGAGCUGGGCUGAGCAGAUGCUGGGGUGUCCCAGAGCUGAGCAGAUCCUGGGAUAUUCCACAAAGCAGAUGCUGGGAUGUUCCAGAGCUGAGCAGAUCCUGGGAUGUUCCACAAAGCAGAUCCUGGGGUGUCCCAGAGCUGAGCAGAUCCUGGGAUGUUCCACAAAGCAGAUGCUGGGGUGUCCCAGAGCUGAGCUGGACAGAUUCUGGGAUGUUCCAGAGCUGAGCAGACCCUGGGAUGUCCCAGCACUGAGCAGACCCUGGGGUGUUCCAGAGGCCUCCAGGAGCCUUCCCAGCUCCCAAGGAGAUCCCUGGAUCAGCUCCCCCAGGGGCCAGGCCCAGCGUGGGGUGUCCCCCCUGCACCCCGAGGCUCAGCAGGGCUGGAGGCAGGAGCCCUAA